rnacentral:rRNA from 1 species
AUUUUCCGCGCUUGAUCCUGCCGGAGGCUACUGCUAUUGUGAAUUCGACUAAGCCAUGCGAGUCAAGGUGUCUUCGGACGCCGGAUUAGGGGUCAGUAACACGUAGGUAACCUACCCUCAGGACUGAGAUAACCCCGGGAAACUGGGGCUAAUAUUAGAUAGUUAAAACAGAGAUGGAAUGUUCUUUUAUCCAAAGCUUUUGCGCCUGAGGAUGGGCCUGCGCCCGAUUAGGUUGUUGGUGGGGUAAUGGCCCACCAAGCCUACGAUCGGUACGGGCAGUGGGAGCUGAAGCCCGGAGUUGGGGACUGAGACAAGGCCCCAGGCCCUACGGGGCGCAGCAGGCGCGAAACCUCUGCAAUGCGGGAAACCGUGACAGGGGGAUCCCAAGUGCUCAUGCAUUGCAUGGGCUGUUCUUUGGUCUAAGUAACCAGAGGAGUAAGGGCUGGGCAAGACCGGUGCCAGCCGCCGCGGUAAUACCGGCAGCUCAAGUGGUAGCCGCGAUUAUUGGGCCUAAAACGUUCGUAGCCGGAUAAGUAAGUCUUUGGUUAAAUCCUGCGACUUAACCGUAGGAAAUCUAGAGAUACUGCUUGUCUUGAGACCGGGAGAGGUUGGAGGUACUCCCAGGGUAGGGGUGAAAUCCUGUAAUCCUGGGGGGACCACCUGUGGCGAAGGCGUCCAACUGGAACGGGUCUGACGGUGAGGGACGAAACCUAGGGGAGCGAGCCGGAUUAGAUACCCGGGUAGUCCUAGGCGUAAAUGAUGCGAGUUAUGUGAGGGGGCAUCCACGAGAUGGCCCUGUGCUGUAGGGUAGCCGUUAAACUCGCUGCCUGGGGAGUACGGUCGCAAGGCUGAAACUUAAAGGAAUUGGCGGGGGAGCACCACAAGAGGUGGAGGCUACCUUCAAUUGGAUUCAACGCCGGAAAU